UACGAAGGGGGCUAGCGUUGCUCGGAAUCACUGGGCGUAAAGGGUGCGUAGGCGGGUCUUUAAGUCAGGGGUGAAAUCCUGGAGCUCAACUCCAGAACUGCCUUUGAUACUGAAGAUCUUGAGUUCGGGAGAGGUGAGUGGAACUGCGAGUGUAGAGGUGAAAUUCGUAGAUAUUGGGAAGAACACCGGUGGCGAAGGCGGCUAUCUGGACCGACAUUGACGCUGAGGCGCGAAAGCGUGGGGAGCAAACAGG
rnacentral:rRNA from 1 species